AGAGUUUGAUCAUGGCUCAGGGUAAACGCUGGCGGCGUGCCUAAAACAUGCAAGUCGUACGAGAUCCUUCGGGGUCUAGUGGCAGACGGCUGAGUAACGCGUGGGUGACGUACCUGAUGGUGGGGAAUAACUGCCCGAAAGGGUGGCUAAUUCCGCAUACGCCCAGUUCUUCAUUUGGAUUGGGGAAAGUCGUAAGGCGCCAAUGGAGCGGCCCGCGUUCGAUUAGCUCGUUGGUGGGGUAACGGCCUACCAAGGCGGCGAUCGAUAGCUGGUCUCAGAGGAUGAUCAGCCAGACUGGGACUGAGACACGGCCCAGACUCCUACGGGAGGCAGCAGUUAGGAAUUUUGGGCAAUGGGCGCAAGCCUGACCCAGCAACGCCGCGUGGGUGACGAAGGCCUUCGGGUUGUAAAGCCCUUUUCUCGGGGAAGAUAAUGACGGUACCCGAGGAAGAAGCACCGGCUAACUACGUGCCAGCAGCCGCGGUAAUACGUAGGGUGCGAGCGUUGCCCGGAUUUAUUGGGCGUAAAGGGCGCGCAGGCGGCCACGCGCGUCCGUUGUGAAAUCGCUCGGCUCAACUGGGCGAGGUCAGCGGAUACGGCGUGGCUGGAGCAAGCUAGGGGGCAAUGGAAUUCCCGGUGUAGUGGUGGAAUGCGUAGAUAUCGGGAGGAACACCAGUGGCGAAGGCGGUUGCCUGGAGCUUNNCUGAGCUGAGGCGCGAAAGCGUGGGGAGCGAUCCGGAUUAGAUACCCUAGUAGUCC
rnacentral:rRNA from 1 species